rnacentral:misc_RNA from 1 species
GAUGAAAACGCAGCGAAAUGCGAUAAGUAAUGUGAAUUGCAGAAUUCAGUGAAUCAUCGAAUCUUUGAACGCACAUUGCGCCCCCUGGUAUUCCGGGGGGCAUGCCUGUCCGAGCGUCAUUACAACCCUCAAGCUCAGCUUGGUAUUGGGCCCCGCCGCUCCGGCGGGCCCUAAAGUCAGUGGCGGUGCCGUCCGGCUCCGAGCGUAGUAAUUCUUCUCGCUCUGGAGGUCCGGUCGUGUGCUCGCCAGCAACCCCCAAUUUUUUUCAGGUUGACCUCGGAUCAGGUAGGGAUACCCGCUGAACUUAAGCAUAUCAAUAAGCGGAGGA